GUUCGUUAAACCGGAUAAGUUGUAACACAAACUCGCAAAUUUCGUUUGAUCAGGUUAUUUUCAUAAAAUAUUUCGAUACUUUCAAGUUUCAGUUCAUCGGAGUGAGGUGAUUAGAUGAAGAUGGAUGAAGAUAGCUGUUUCUUCGGCGAUGGCGGCACUCUAGCUACGUUUCACCGGAAGAGUAGAUGUUUACGAACUGAACUUUUGGAUCGGAUAUAUGAAGACGCGCGCUGCAUUUUCCUUGACGGAGACGCACAGCUCUGACACUAGACAAUAUUAUACACUCAAAGGGACCGCGUUUCGCCAGAAGAAUAAAUAAUUACAAAUGGUAUUCGUCAGUGAACAUUUUCAAACUGGGAAUAAUAUAUCAUAAGCAGAUUGAAAUGUGUGAACGUUUCAGUGUUUCGAAG